GAUGAACGCUGGCGGCGUGCCUAAUACAUGCAAGUCGAGCGAACAGAUGAGAAGCUUGCUUCUCUGAUGUUAGCGGCGGACGGGUGAGUAACACGUGGGUAACCUGCCUAUAAGACUGGGAUAACUCCGGGAAACCGGGGCUAAUACCGGAUAAUAUUUUGAACCGCAUGGUUCAAUAGUGAAAGACGGUUUCGGCUGUCACUUAUAGAUGGACCCGCGGCGUAUUAGCUAGUUGGUAAGGUAACGGCUUACCAAGGCGACGAUACGUAGCCGACCUGAGAGGGUGAUCGGCCACACUGGAACUGAGACACGGUCCAGACUCCUACGGGAGGCAGCAGUAGGGAAUCUUCCGCAAUGGGCGAAAGCCUGACGGAGCAACGCCGCGUGAGUGAUGAAGGUCUUCGGAUCGUAAAACUCUGUUGUUAGGGAAGAACAAAUUUGUUAGUAACUGAACAAGUCUUGACGGUACCUAACCAGAAAGCCACGGCUAACUACGUGCCAGCCGCCGCAGUAA
rnacentral:rRNA from 1 species